rnacentral:lncRNA from 1 species
UCCCUUCUUCAUAGCUCUCUUCCAAUACUUCAAGAUGUCAUCAUGCUCAGUGGUCCCGAACUCAUGGCAGUAUAUUUGUGGCUUCACUACAGUAUGCGUGUUGGCGAGGAUUGAUCCCAGCAUCAUGCUCUUCCAUUCCCUCUUCAGCCCCAAAAGACAUCUGGAGUCCCAUGGUUGGUGGUAUGUGAUGCCACAGAGGAAGAAGGACGUCCGCCCACUAUCUUUUUCGGAGAUCCCCACCACUAUUCAUGGUUGGAAACCAUAAUUUCUCUUCAUCUCUCAGACAUCUGAUGAGGAUUGGGGGUUUGUCAUUUGGGGUGAAUCUCAAGAGACCGCACUAAAAGAGCCUUCAAUAAAUGAAUGCCUGAGGCAGGAGUUGGCAACCUAGUGUGGCUUCAAGAUUUCGAAGCUGAAGGAGCUACUAUCGGUCCAUAUGCAGUUCAGUGUCGGCAUCGGUCAGGUUGCCCCUCAAGGUGCGUGUCACCCACCUCUAGGAUCUUAUAUUCUUUGAUUUCCAUCAUGCUUUUGCUGACAACUUACUUGCCCUGAUUACAGAGGUGGUCAUGGAGAAGGAUGCGGGCUCAUUAGAGAAAUCAGAUAAGAAGGCCCGUCGAAAAAGGAUAGCUGAGCCUGCGGAUGAUCGGAGCACCCGCAUCAAGAUCGAAAGUCCUCCAGCACCAUCGGCUUUUAGAUCAGGAGGUCCUGACUCUCCCCACGCCAACAACCUCAAAAUGGUAAGGGUUGGCUCGACUUUCCCGACCUCUGAUGG